GUUUGUAAGAAAAAAAAAGUUUAUCUAAGGUUGGAAAGAAAAUGCCAGGGACUCGUGAAAUUUGAGGCUCAGAGAAUAAAAUGCGGGUGCUUGCUAUAUUAAAUGAAAAAUGUCUAGGAAUGUCUAGCUAGAAGAAGAUUCUUCAAGGAGAGAGUACAAUGGAUAAGGUGGAUGAAAGUGAAGACGAGUGGAGUAUGUGCAAGAAAAAGCCAAGUUUGUCCAAGGAUGCAGAGAAUAGGACAUCUGUACGACGUGCUACUGGUUCAUUCAAGAGAUACGGAGAUUACAAUGUUGAUGAGUGGGAAGAUGAUACUGAUGAUUAUGCGGUUUUCCCACUAUGUUAUGGACAUCAUAUACCCAGUAAUACAAAAAGCCGGGGAGCUGAUGUUUCACCUGAGUCGAAACCCAAAAAUAUUCCAAAAGAUGUAAUAAAAAUUUUAGGAAAGUUAUCUGCUUGUAGUUCAUUACCUUCCUGGGCGCCUGCUAAAUUAAAUGGAGAACAGUGUCUAGGAAUUCCAAGCAAGAAAAAGAGUCCUCGAGCAAAUAGUACAAUGGAUAAAGUGGAUAACAGUGAAGAUGAGUGGAAUGUGUGCAAUGAAAAAUCAAGUUUGUCCAAUGAUGGAAAAAAGAAGCAGAGAAUUUAUGAAAAAGAUACAGAGAAUAAAAGGACAUCUGUAAGACAUGCUGCUGCAUCACUCAAGAGAUACAAUCAUAAUUACUUUGUUGGUGAGUGGAAAGAUGAUUCUGAGUAGUAUGAGGUUUUGCCAAUUAGCGAUGGACAUCAUACACCAAGUAAAACAAGAAGCCAGAGAAGUGAAGUUUCACAUGAGUCAAAACUAAAAGAUAGUCCAAAAGAUUCAAUAAAUAAUUCAGGGAAGUUAUCUGCUUGUAGUUCAUUGCCUUCCACCUCAUCGUCCUCCGGUUCCACAAUUUCAAGAAAUGGAAUAGAUGGAUCUAAGAACAUGAAGGUAAAUUGUCUGGCAGUAAAUUAAAAUCAAUGUAGAAGAACUGUUGUUCCUUGUACGAAGUGUAAAGAGAAAUUUUACUGUAUCAAGUGCAUCAUGGAAUGGUAUCCUGAAUUGGAAGAAGAGGAAGUCUCAGAGCUUUGUCCAUAUUGUCAUAGAAAAUGUAACUGCAACUUGUGCUUACACUCAAUUGGCAUUCUAGAGACAUCAAGAAGGGAUAUCACUGAUCGUGAAAAGAUUGAGCAUUUGCACUAUUUGAUUAUCACGCUUCUUCCCUUUCUAAAAGAAAUCCAUCACGAACAAUUUUAAGAGAUAGAACUGGAGUCUUGUAUUCGUGUUUUUAUCACAGGGGUAUCUUCAUCUUCAUUUGAAAUUAGACGAUCACUUUGUCAUAAUGAUGAGCGAGUUUACUGGUAAUGUAUCUUCUCUCUUGUUCUCUUUUUUUCUUCCAGCUAUUAUGAAAUGUUAUGAUUGCAGACCUUAUUUUUGGAGGUUUUAUGCUUAUUGAUUUCUUGGCCUUGGAGCAGCAACAACUGCUCAACUUCAAUUGUCCAUCUUCAUCGGAGCUGCCCAGAUUGCUCAUAUGAGCUAUGUCUAAGCUGAUGCCAAGAGCUUCGGAGAGGCAUGUUUCCAGAAAAGAUUUGUAAAGCAAUUUA